CUGAAGUCUGGUGCUUGCACUAGACGGAUGAGUUGCGAACGGGUGAGUAACGCGUAGGUAACCUGCCUCAUAGCGGGGGAUAACUAUUGGAAACGAUAGCUAAUACCGCAUAACAGUAUUUACCGCAUGGUAGAUGCUUGAAAGGAGCAACUGCUUCACUAUGAGAUGGACCUGCGUUGUAUUAGCUAGUUGGUGAGGUAACGGCUCACCAAGGCUUCGAUACAUAGCCGACCUGAGAAGGUGAUCGGCCACACUGGGACUGAGACACGGCCCAGACUCCUACGGGAGGCAGCAGUAGGGAAUCUUCGGCAAUGGGGGCAACCCUGACCGAGCAACGCCGCGUGAGUGAAGAAGGUUUUCGGAUCGUAAAGCUCUGUUGUAAGAGAAGAACUGUGAGAAGAGUGGAAAGUUUCUCACUUGACGGUAUCUUACCAGAAAGGGACGGCUAACUACGUGCCAGCAGCCGCGGUAAUACGUAGGUCCCGAGCGUUGUCCGGAUUUAUUGGGCGUAAAGCGAGCGCAGGCGGUUUGAUAAGUCUGAAGUAAAAGGCUGUGGCUUAACCAUAGUACGCUUUGGAAACUGUCAAACUUGAGUGCAGAAGGGGAGAGUGGAAUUCCAUGUGUAGCGGUGAAAUGCGUAGAUAUAUGGAGGGACACCGGUGGCGAAAGCGGCUCUCUGGUCUGUAACUGACGC
rnacentral:rRNA from 1 species